rnacentral:lncRNA from 1 species
GAAGCCCAGGGUGUUUGCUGGGAGUGGGAACGGAAGAAGGAAUUUUUCCAGCACUCAACACAAGGUGGCGCCAGACACCCGUGGACGUCAUGAGGUCCCCCUCCUGGUGGGCUCCAGAAGCUGCGAAAAUUCCCUGAAAUUCGAGUCAGGCCGGAUUCAAGAGAAACGGAGAGAGAUGGGAAGGAGUAACACAGUGGCCAGACAGACGGAAUCUAAGAAACCUCCGAAGAGAAAAAGAAAGGAACGGGCGGCGGAAUCCCCGCGGGACCGGAGACAGGCUGCAUACUCCUAAGGACUUGUUGCCAGAUUGCUCUGUCCUAGAGCCGCUCGUGAUCCCCAGCCUGUGUGGCUGUGCUGCGGCUUCCUGGCAGCCUGUGGUUCCGGUGCUUGCAUUCACGUGCCUGCAGAGGAGGCUGCAACCUGCCCCACCCCCAUUUUCUGCUCUGCCUUUUCAUUGUCCACAGGACUUAGAAACUCCCAGUAUACUAGUCAAUUCACUUAAUAAAAUAGUUACUAUUAUUAUUUUAUUUUGUAUUACUUUAUUAUUACUGUUUCCCUUUUUCCCUCUUCGGAAUGUAAGCCUCAUGGAGCAAGCAUUUUUAUUCAUUGGACCCUGGCAGUUGUCCCCUGAAUGCAGGACUAAGAAAGCUGGGCUCGAUUCUAAGGUCGGGGGUACCCUCCUGGGUUGAACAAUAGCAAGGACUGCAACAGAUGCUCAGUCUUCCUGUUGUCCUGUUGUUGCCUCUUUUCACUCAUUAGAGAGUCCCGGUGUAAAGGGCCAGGUGAUGGGGGUAAAUCCGAGGGGAGGGGAGGAGGCUUGGGGAGUCAGGAUAUAAGUGCCCCAGGAGAGAGGGAAUAACCCGCUAUGGCGGAGGCAGCCCCUCUACUGUCAGGGGCUAGCACAAUGUCUCCUGCAUGAUUGGGCCUCAAUAAAUGCGUGUGGGGGACAUGGGAAGACA